rnacentral:tRNA from 1 species
GAGGGAGGUUGGUAGCAAUGGGGGUUGCUAACCCUUUCCUCCUUGGUUGAACUCCGAGGCUCACUCG